rnacentral:rRNA from 1 species
GACGAACGCUGGCGGCGUGCUUAACACAUGCAAGUCGAGCGGUAAGGCCCUUUCGGGGGUACACGAGCGGCGAACGGGUGAGUAACACGUGGGUGACCUGCCCUCAGCUCUGGGAUAAGCCUGGGAAACCGGAUCUAAUACUGGAUAUGACUCCAUGACGCAUGUUGUGGGGUGGAAAGCCUUGUGCGGCUGAGGAUGGGCCCGCGGCCUAUCAGCUUGUUGGUGGGGNGAUGGCCUACCAAGGCGACGACGGGUAGCCGGCCUGAGAGGGCGACCGGCCACACUGGGACUGAGACACGGCCCAGACUCCUACGGGAGGCAGCAGUGGGGAAUCUUGCGCAAUGGGCGAAAGCCUGACGCAGCGACGCCGCGUGAGGGAUGACGGCCUGGUGUAA